GGUUAACCCCGGAAGUGGAAGUUGCCGCAUGAGGUGCCACUCAUUCCACUAAAGCGGCCUCACCCCGGAAGUACAGAUAAUCGCGUGACGUAGAACUCAUUCUACGGUACGCGACUUGUGACUAAGACCAUAAAGAGCGGACGUAGAAAACACUGGCAUUUUUUCUGUAGGUGCCGACAACGAAACACGUUGAACGUGUCAGUACAGCGUAGACGGAGGGGACAAAAAGCGCAACAUGCGGUAAAAGGAUCAAGCAACAUGACUCUUUAAAACAGAUCCGUUGCUUUUUGUGUAAAUCAAGAGGACAAUCAAAUGGACAGCUUAAAGAAUAAAAGAAAAUUAAGGUCAAGCAGGGAAGUGGUUGCCGAAGAGGGGCCACACGAAGAUAACGGAAGUGGUUCUGAGUUACAGGAUGCCAGUGGUGAUACUUCUCCACCGGGGAAAAAGCCUAGGAAUGAUGAGAACAGAGAAGCCCAGAGCAGCGAGGGUACACCUUUCCCCCAGACUGAAGCCGUGACCAUAGAUUCGGGUGACGAGCAUUGUCACGAUGGAGCUGGCAGUUCAACAUCGGACUGUAGCUGCGUCUGCUCUCUUUGUGAUUUUGUCGCCAAAACUCCGACAGCCCUGAAAGUGCACACUACCAGAAAACAUUACCGCAAGGGCGCUGGCCUGAGAGGCGAGAGCUCAUCCAGCAAGGGGGGCAAAUCCGAAGACUUUACCCCAGGUGAAGGAGGCUCCCGAGGGCCUGAAUUGUCAGAUGCUGUCAACCGUGGAAAAUGCCGCCUUUGCGGCCUCCGUGCGAGCAGCAGUAACCACUUAGCCGCACAUAUGAAGGAGAAGCACCGUGAAUUCCGGGCUGGCGAACAGGCAGAAGUGACGAGCACGGCUGCUGUGUUGCACAACCAAAGUGAGACAGUUCUCCAGGAAAAGCAGUCUGGUGAUGGUUCCCUGACAAUCAUGAUUUCAGCUAAAGAUGGUGCAAGUGAGGAAGCAGAGACUGGUUCUCUAACAAAGAGAGACGAAAGUACCACCUGCGCGCUUUUAGAAAUGGUUGCUAGUGCUGCAGACAAGACUCAGAUUGGAAAAGAAGCAGACAGCAAAGGUAUGGAAUCCCUCAGUGAGAGCAGUCAUAAGAGAAAACGGAAACCCAUCAAAACUCGAGCGGUAGCACAGGUUAGUUUGAAAACUGGUAUAGAAAUGAGCGCUGAAAGCCCCAGUUUGGAUCUCCGUGAUGGAAAUGUGGGCCAUGCUCCCCCUGCCAGUGUGACGGCUGAGCACAGACCUCGCAUAAUGGCUGGAGGAAAAGCGCGACCUGUUCAUGCCAAAAUUAAGAGAGAUCCAAAGUGCAAGGCUCAGCAAAAUUGCAGCUACUGUGGACAUGUAUUUCGGAACAAACCCAGCCUGUUGACUCACCUUAAAAGGCGUCAUACAAAAGAAAUUAAUUUCUCCUGCAAAGUGUGUUCCUAUGCUUGCGUGACCAAAUUUGACUAUGAAAAACACUGCUUGAGCAACCGGCACAAGAAACGGACUUUGAUAAGCACAGAGGUUCCGGGUGUCCCAGCACCAGUGGACAGCGACAGCAGAGAGCAGCGGCUAUAUGAGAUUGAACUUCAGAUUCACAGCGAGGGCACCAAAUCCUCUGCCACUCGGCUGGCAGCCGCUCAGCUGCUGAAACGAUCUGCGAGUGCCCGGCCACAGCUGCGGUGCAAGACGUGCGGGUACAAGACCGGCUCCUCGACCCUACUUGUGAGGCACGAGCGGCUCAAACACUCCAAGGAGAUGAAGCGCCGCUGCAAGGCCUACCGCUCUUGUGCCACAAGCACGGCAGAAGGGAUGGCUAAACCCUUUCUCCGAAAGAAGCACCUUCAGUCAGCCAGGAAAGAAAGCAUUGAGGUGUCCUUUGAAGAAUGCGUCGAGAGAAUUUGCGUGAAGUCAUCCAUCAGUCAAACUACUUCUACCAAGGCCGUGCUGCCCGAUGACGAGUUGCUGAGGAGCAACCGAGACGAGGCUCAAGUUCAGCUCUCCCAUGAUGAUGACAAAACUACAGAGUCUGAUGGGACUGGGAAUGCAGAGGGAACCGAAGACACAGGUCCCCCGAAGAAGAGACGCGGUCGACCAAAGAGUUCUGCAAUUACAACUUGUGAUUACUGUGGCCUCGUUGCCUCCAAUGCCACCAAUCUCAGUGUCCACAUAAGACGGAGGCACAGCCGACAGUACAGCUUUGCCUGCAAACUGUGCAGCUACUACUGUGUCACCAAAGGUGACAUGGAUCGCCACUGUGCCACCAAGAAGCACAUGAAACGGAUGCAGGCGACCACUGGUGAUGAUCCACAAGACACUCAAGGAGCUUCAGGCAGUGUGGUGGAAGUCCUGGGCGGUGCACAAGCUUCCAGAACUGAGGCUGUAGAGAAUAAUUCCAGGGAAGGAGUCUUGGUUCAGGCUACUCAGGUGUCAAGGCUGUCCAAAGCAGAAGGGACCUCGGAUGAAGCUGUGCUGGCUAGUGGGCAUCUUCCACCUCGCGAAGAAAGAUCGGAGAGUGAGCAGGCGAUCCCUGUUGAUCUAGAUGAUGCAGAACAAGAGGUCGAUGGCCCAGCUUUGAAGAAGAGCAAAUAUGACUCGGUCAACUCCUGCGUUCACUGUGACUUUGUGGCCCAUUCGCUGCCGUCUCUGGACCUCCACAUAAAGCGGAAACACACCAAGGAUUUUGAAUUUGUCUGCAAGGCAUGUAAUUAUUAUGCAGUGACUCGCCGUGAGAUGUCAAGACAUGCCACGACUGAGAAGCACAAGCAGAAGAGUCAGUCUUACCUGGAGUCUCUGAGGAAGAAUGAGAUUGAUCCACUUAGUGGGGACCAGGAAAUGCUGUCGAAACAGGAGGAGGUCAUACCAGAAGGUGACGGUGAACCUUUUGCCGAGAGCCCUGAGGAGCACAGUGCUUCCUUAGACCAACAGACAAAUUCUGGAGACAGUCAGAAAGCAGAAGUGGUGGGAAACAUCAUCCCUAACGCUGGCCCUAGUGAUGUGGGAGUAUUGGACAAAUGUGAUGCCAACAGGGAUGGCGACGCCUCAAAUGGUGAGGGAAGCCCUGAGGGCUCUGUUGCACCUACUGAUAGGGGUACGGAAGAUGCUGAGCAGAGAAUUGAUGGAGGCGUGAGAGAAAGCCAGGCUUUGAUGGAGGACAACCCUGUAGGGAUGGGAGAAGGAGCAGGUUUAGCAGAGUCUGAGCCUGUCACUGAGGAGGACAUCCAGGAAGGUGAGGCAGAAGUAGAGGACAACUUGUCAGACUCUGAUCCCGACUUGGACAAUGGGAGAGGAGAGGGUUCAUCCUCGCUCAAACAGCUUGUCAGGGCCGUUCCGUUUGACGCGUCCAUAGUUCCCGCCAAAGCCUUGCAAGACAGUGUUCCUUCUGCACAUGAUGGAGCCAUGGCUGCAAAAGGGGGCACAACUGGUAGUCAGCCAGCUGACACCUCGAGCCCACAGAGGAGCAGGAAGAUGGGGGGCUCCAAGGCGAGGAGUGGCCUCAACUCGCGGAUCCGUUGUGAGGACUGUGGGUUCCUGGCUGACGGCCUGAGUGGACUCAAUGUACACAUCGCCAUGAAGCACCCCUCGAAGGAGAAGCACUUCCACUGCCUGCUGUGUGGAAAGUCCUUCUACACGGAGAGCAACCUCCACCAGCAUCUGAGCAGCGCUGCCCACCUGCGCAACGAGCAGGCGAGCAUCGAGGAACUGCCCGAGGGCGGAGCCUCCUUCAAGUGCGUAAGGUGCACGGAGCCCUUUGAGACCGAGCAGGAGCUCUUUGUGCACAUCAAGGAAAAGCAUGAGGAACUGCUGCGAGAGGUCAACAAGUAUGUCCUGGAGGAUACGGAGCAGAUCAACAAGGAGCGCGAAGAGAAUCAGGGCAGCGUGUGCAAGUACUGUGGGAAGGUGUGCAAGAGCAGCAAUUCGAUGGCCUUCUUGGCACACGUCCGCACACACACAGGAUCAAAGCCGUUCAAGUGCAAGAUCUGCAACUUCGCCACGGCGCAGCUCGGAGACGCUCGCAACCACGUCAAGAGGCACCUGGGCAUGCGCGAGUACAAGUGCCACGUGUGUGGGUGGGCCUUUGUGAUGAAGAAGCACCUGAGUACACACCUGCUGGGGAAGCAUGGCGUGGGACGUCCCAAAGAGAGGAAGUUCGAGUGCGAGCUCUGCGACCGCACGUUCAGCGAGCGCUGGGCCCUGAACAACCACACCAAGCUGCACACGGGGGAGAAGCCAUACAAGUGCGCCUGGCCGUCCUGCCACUACUCCUUCCUCACGCUGUCUGCCAUGAAGGACCACUACCGCACACACACUGGAGAGAAGUCCUUCCUGUGUGACCUCUGCGGGUUUGCGGGUGGGACUCGGCACGCCUUGACCAAGCACCGGCGCCAGCACACAGGGGAGAAACCGUUCAGGUGCUCGCUCUGCAACUUCGCCUCGACCACGCAGUCGCACCUGACCCGCCACAAGCGCGUGCACACGGGCGAGAAGCCCUACCACUGUCCCUGGUGCGACUACAGAUCGAACUGUGCGGAGAACAUCCGCAAGCACAUACUGCACACGGGAAAGCACGAGGGUGUCAAGAUGUACAACUGCCCCAAGUGCGACUACGGCAGCAACGCCCCCAUGGAGUUCCGCAACCACCUGAAGGAGAGGCACCCGGACAUCGAGAACCCGGACCUGGCUUACUUGCACGCAGGAAUUGUGUCCAAAUCCUUCGAGUGCCGCCUGAAGGGUCAGGGUGCGUCCUUUGUGGAGACAGAGACGGCGUUUGCAGCGGACGAAGCGUUGCAGAGUGUGCGUCGUGAGGGCGGGGCCAGCGGUGGAGGUGGCGGCGAAGAGUCGGGGGCAGAGGCCGUGCAGCAGGUGAUCAUCAUCCAGGGCUACGAUGGAGAGCUGGCUGUUGACAGCACCUUGGAGGAGUCAGCAGCUGCCGCCCUGCAGACCCUGGCUGAGGUGUUGCACAUCACUGAGGACGGCCAGGUGAUCACCACCGGCUCCGCCCAGGACGCCACCUCAGCCACUGCCCACCACCACCACCACCAGGGUACCACCCAGUAUGUGCUGGUGGAGUCCGGGGAGGCGGGGCUGCUGGGUCGGCCGGAGGACGGAGUCGCGGCCUCGGCCUCGCCCAGCUCCCUCGACGCACUGCUGUGUGCCGUCACCGAGCUGGGUGCCGGGCAGGAGGAGGGCGCGGCCUCGCAGGAGGCGGACUCGGGGGCGGAGCCGUACGAGAACCAGGCGGCGGCUGGGCAACAGUUUGCCGAAGUGGUGCAGAAGGGGCAGGAGGGAGAGGUGGAGGUGUACGGGGAGAUGGUGGAAGAGGCAGGGGAGCCCGUGGAGGUGGUCACUCAGGUGGUGCACUCGUCCGGAGCUUCCGAGACCCCCGAGGACGUGGUUCACGAGGUGCUCCAGUUCGCUGCCAGUCAGCUCAUGAUGAAGGAGGGGCUGACGCAAGUCAUUGUGAAUGACGAGGGCACGCACUUCAUCGUCACCGAGCUGGACGAGUCCGCGCUGCAGGUGGAGGGCGCCGUCUACGCCCCGGGAGAAGGUGCCGAGGAGCAGGAGGCAGUCCCGGGCGAGGCGGAGACGACGGCGGCGGCGGCGGCGGUGGUGGUGUAUUCCAACUCUUCCUCACAAGACGCCAUCAUGGAGGAGUGAGAGGGGUGUUGGGGGGGCGCCGUAGGCCUGCCCUGCUCAGCGGAGUUGUGUUGUGACCGCAGGGAUUCGGCUUUACUUACAGCUUCCGGUAUACAUAACUCAGGAUCACUUUAAUUCCCAGUUGAGAAUUCAUACGUUCAGUCAAGGUUUGAGAAGGAUGUGGUUCAGUGCCGUACGUCUGGUACAGGAACAAGCACCUUACUGUGGGGUCGUGUAGCUGUGUGUCUAUAUCGGUACCUGUAGACCUGCUUAGAAUAGUGGAUUUUUUUCCGCCCGAUUGAGCAAAAUCAAAAGUGACAUAUUGUCCAUUUAUUAUAGUCAUUAUCUGUGGAGUGUUGUUGUAAGAAAAAGCACUUAGAGCCCAGGAAGCUGUUUGCUCAGACUGUCUCCGAUGAGCCAUUGCGAGUGUUUGCCUGUGACUUGGUUCGUCUCGUCUCACUUUCGCUCACGUUUUUUCUUCUGCGUUUUUUCGCUUCUCUUAUUCCCGAGAGACAAGGGCAACGAAGAGCUCGAUUUACCCGUAACACCCCUGUGCGCCUCGCUGGACUGCAGAAACAGCACAUUGUCCCCACUCACAAACACACACAAAGUUCCGUUAUGAAGAGUCUUAUUAUUUUUCGAACUGCACUCGGAUUUUAUUUUUUGCCGCCUCUUUCAUUCAGAACAAAAUAAAUGUCCAGCCUCGUUCA
ensembl:lncRNA